UACGAAGGGGGCUAGCGUUGCUCGGAUUGACUGGGCGUAAAGGGCGCGUAGGCGGUUCGUACAGUCAGACGUGAAAUUCCUGGGCUCAACCUGGGGGCUGCGUUUGAUACGUGCGGACUUGAGUGCGGAAGAGGGUCGUGGAGUUCCCAGUGUAGAGGUGAAAUUCGUAGAUAUUCGCAAGAACACCAGUGGCGAAGGCGGCUCACUGGCCCGAUACUGACGCUGAGGCACGAAAGCGUGGGGAGCAAACAGG
rnacentral:rRNA from 1 species